rnacentral:rRNA from 1 species
UAAUACGUAGGUGGCAAGCGUUGUCCGGAUUUACUGGGCGUAAAGCGAACGCAGGCGGACCUUUAAGUAGGAAGUGAAAGGUUGGAGCUCAACUCUAACACUGCUCCCUAUACUGGAGGUCUUGAGUGCCGGAGAGGAAGACGGAACAAGUUGUGUAGCGGUGAAAUGCGUUGAUAUAACUUGGAACACCAAUGGCGAAAGCAGUCUUCUGGACGGAUACUGACGCUCAGGUUCGAAAGCCAAGGUAGCAAACAGGAUUAGAUACCCUGGUAGUCUUGGCCUUAAACGAUGUUCACUAGGUGUUGGGGGGUAACCCUCGGUGCCGCAGCUAACGCAUUAAGUGAACCGCCUGGGGACUACGGCCGCAAGGUUG